rnacentral:rRNA from 1 species
AUUGAACGCUGGCGGCAGGCCUAACACAUGCAAGUCGAGCGGAUGAAGGGAGCUUGCUCCUGGAUUCAGCGGCGGACGGGUGAGUAAUGCCUCGGAAUCUGCCUGGUAGUGGGGGCUAACGUCCGGAAACGGGCGCUAAUACCGCAUACGUCCUGAGGGAGCAAGUGGGGGAUCUUCGGACCUCACGCUAUCAGAUGAGCCUAGGUCGGAUUAGCUGGGUGGUGGGGUAAAGGCCUACUAAGGCGACGAUCCGUAACUGGUCUGAAAGGAUGAUCAGUCACACUGGAAGUGAGGCACGGUGCAGACUCCGACGGGAGGCAGCAGUGGGGAAUAUUGGAGGAUGGGGGAAAGCCUGAUCCAGCCAAGCCGCGUGUGUGAAGAAGGUCUUCGGAUGGGAAAGCACUGUAAGUUGGGAGGAAGGACAGUAAGUUAAGACCUGGCUGUUUUGACGGUACCAACAGAAGAAGCACCGGCUAACUUCGUG